GAUCCUGGCUCAGGAUAAACGCUAGCGGCAGGCCUAACACAUGCAAGUCGAGGGGCAGCGGAUGAAGUAGCUUGCUACUUCUGCCGGCGACCGGCGCACGGGUGCGUAACGCGUAUGCAACCUACCUUUAACAGGGGGAUAAUCCGAAGAAAUUUGGUCUAAUACCCCAUAAUAUUUCAUAAGGCAUCUUUUGGUAGUUGUAAAGACUCCGGCCGGGUUAAAGUAAUGGGCGAUGCGUUGUAUUAGUCCACGAUGG
rnacentral:rRNA from 1 species